rnacentral:lncRNA from 1 species
UCCAGGUCAGCCUUGUGAGGUUCCGUAGUCCCAGACAGGAAGCACAGACCCGAUUCAACCUCUGGUUCCCGAGAGCACAGUCGAUCCCCUAUCUACUACCAGACUUGGUGGCUUUCCCCUGCCCUCUGGGCCCUGUGGAGACUCAUCUCCAUGAAGAUGGUCUCUAUUCUUCAGGCUCCAAACGUGGAAGGGCUCCCUCCCUCACCUGUGGCCAGGCUUUCAACGACUGAUUCUGUAUGUCUUCCACCAAAGCGACAGCUUCCUCACCGCUCCCAAGGUGCUGUCUCUGAAGCUGGGCUUGGAUCUCCCCUGGUAGCACAGCCAGGAACUGCUCCAGCACCAGCAAUUCCAGGAUCUGCUCCUUGCUGUGCAGCUCAGGCCGCAGCCAGCGGCAACAGAGCUCCCACAGCUGGCUGAAGGCUUCGUGUGGUCCACCCGCAUCCCUGAAGCAGAACUGUCGGAACCGCUGGCGGCAGGCUUCGGAAUCCCGGCUGUCCACCGGCUGGACAGGCUCCUGUUCCCAGGAGCAGUCUUCCACCUUCACAAUCAUGAGUCCUUCCUCCUCCCCGGGAGCAGGGUCUUGGAGCUCCUGGAGGGAUGCCAUGCCCCUGGCCUAAGGCUCAGGGCUGGUCAGCCUUAGCUUGAGGCUCCAGAGCUGAGCCUUUCAGUGUCCUAGAGGGAUUCUCUGUGACGA